AGGACACGGACUGUGGGCUCGGGCGGCUGGUCAGCCUCCACACCCACCACCAUGGCGUUGUGAUACUGCACAGGGCCCCAGGCAGGGCGUCACAUGCAUUCAAGGCAACAACAUAGCAAGAUACUGCAAACAGCCAGGAGUUGAAAGAUGCAUGAUCCAAACGAAAAACAGAAAGAAAAAUGUGGAACAUUCAUGGAAGGAACAAAUAAGCUGAUGAUUUGGAAAUUAAUGUUGCAGCAAUACUGACUAAUUAAUCUGUUUACAAGAGUAUAUGUUUUUAUAAAGUGAACAAAAAUUGUUUGAUCAAGAAAUAAAUGUUCAGCUGGGGUAACAUAAAGGACUUCUGUCCUUUAAAUAGAUAAGCAAAUUAAAUAAUUCUUUUCACUUUUGCCAGCUUUCUAUUUACAAAAUUAAAAAUAAAUUAUCAAUUGUCA